UCCCUGGUAGCUCAGAUGGUAAAGCAUCUGCCUACAAUGUGGGAGACCCAGGUUCAAUCCCUGGGUCGGGAA
rnacentral:tRNA from 1 species